rnacentral:lncRNA from 1 species
AUAGUUUUAAUAUUGCAUCAGAACGAUAUACUAAAAUAACUUAGGGUCUAUUGGGCAGAGCUUCCACUUCUUGUAGAAUAGCUUUUCAAGGAAGCUACCUUAAUUAGUAUUUGAAAACUAAUUUCUAAAUGAGGUUUAUCUUUGGAAAAGCUUUUAGAGAAAGCCACAUUGAAGGCUCGUUUGUCAUGGCUUUUACUUUUACUUUUGCUUCCUAUAGAAAAACUUUUGGAGGAAGCUACUUUGAUUUUUAUUUGGAAACUAAUUUUUAAAAGCACUUCCUAUUUUGAAAGUGCUUUUAGCCCCCCGUUUGAGCUCCAUUAUUUGUAAAUUAUAAUGAGAUGAAUAGUGUUUUUUUGAAAAAUGAGUGGUUGAAAAGUUUUUGAUUUACGUGUAAUAUUAUUUUAUUGAAAAUUGUGUGAUUAAAAGUAGGAGAGAGAAAAUUUUAAUUUAAUGUAAUGAGAAAUAAUGGGACUCAAACGGGGGCUUAGAGAAAGUUACAUUGAAUUAGCUUCCUCUAAAAACUAUAGAAAGCACUUUUAUAAAAUUAGCCAAAAGGGGGGCCAAAAGCGGCUUUUGGAUUUGAGAAGUUCUUUUUGACUUUUUAAAAGUCAUGCCAAACGAGUCCUAAGCAAGCUUCCUCUAAAAGUUCUUCUAACUAGAAGAUACACUUUUAUUAAAUUAACCAAAUGAGUCCACAAGCAGCUUUUCGUUCUUAAAAGCUCAUUUUGACUUCUCGAAAGCCAUACCAAAUGGACCCUUAGGAUCCUAGAAGGAAGAACUUCAAAUUCCAGACACAAGGCAAGAGCUCCAGAUUCAAAUUUCAUUGCAAAAUAAAUCGAGCAGCUCUUUAGAAUAAGGAUAGAAUACAUAGAAUAGUUAAUCAUCCGGGAUAAGAAUACAAACAUAACAUAAAUCUAUGAGUAAAGCUGUUCAUUUAGUAAUAAUUUCCACUUGUUUACAAUGUUCUUAUGCAGUUUCAUUAGUGUGCAAUUAUAACUUCAAGAAACACGGAAUGCAAAGAGUAAUUACACCAUAUACACAUGGCAUUUUUAUAAACUUUCGCUAUUACAUAUUCUAAGUCCCAGUGAGGUUUAGCUAAAAUAGUUGAUAAAAUUUAAGUCAAAUCAACAAUUAUUUUUAAUGGAACAGUAACAAGUAGUUUUCAAAGGGAAGGCUGUGAAGAUGUUUAAUCAGUUUUUGGCCCAAAACUUGCCCCGUGACAAAAAGAUUUAAAUAGAAAAUUCUUAUGAUUCAAAAAUAAAAAUCAAGUUUGAGCAAUAUGCAAUAAUUUACACAGCAAAGUUUAAAACAUUUAACAAAUAAGACAAUAUAAAAGGUUUGUUUUACACGUAAAAUCCAGCUCAAAAAUCUUUAUAAAAUUUUUCUUUUCAUGUGAAAUAUUGUUAAUUAAUUUCCAUUUUUGUUUCAAUUAGAACUUAGGGCAAUUGCAACAAGAGCUUCUGGAGAGUUCCUUUCUUGUCUCAGUAGCUUUAAUUGACAGGAAACAGUAACUUGCAUAGUUAUCAAAAUCACAUUCACAAAAUUUAAAUUUGAAUAGCAUGGCAGAAUGCUAACAGCUUCAACCUAAUUCUAGUGUCUACAAAAUACAACAGCAAACAUCAUAAAGCAUUUUUAACUCACCGAUUCCACCCAGGCCAUUUCAACCAUAUAUUGUGAGGGUUUCUCCUGACAAAACAUAGUUUUAAUAUUGCAUCAAAACGAUAUACUAAAAUAACUUAGGGUCUAUUGGGCAGAGCUUCCACUUCUUGUAGAAUAGCUUUUCAAGGAAGCUACCUUAAUUAGUAUUUGAAAACUAAUUUCUAAAUGAGGUUUAUCUUUGGAAAAGCUUUUAGAGGAAGCCACAUUGAAGGCUCGUUUGUCAUGGCUUUUACUUUCACUUUUGCUUCCUAUAGAAAAACUUUCGGAGGAAGCUACUUUGAUUUUUAUUUGGAAACUAAUUUUUAAAAGCACUUCCUAUUUUGAAAGUGCUUUUAGCCCCCGUUUGAGCUCCAUUAUUUGUAAAUUAUAAUGAGAUGAAUAGUAUUUUUUUGAAAAAUGAGUGGUUGAAAAGUUUUUGAUUUACGUGUAAUAUUAUUUUAUUGAAAAUUGUGUGAUUAAAAGUAGGAGAAAGAAAAUUUUAAUUUAAUGUAAUGAGAAAUAAAUGGGCUCAAACGGGGGCUUACAGAAAGUUACAUUGAAUUAGCUUCCUCUAAAAACUAUAGAAAGCACUUCUAUAAAAUUAGCCAAAAGGGGGGCCAAAAGCGGCUUUUGGAUCUGAGAAGUUCUUUUUGACUUUUUAAAAGCCAUGCCAAACAAGUCCUAAACAAACUUCCUCUAAAAGUUCUUCUAACUAGAAGAUACACUUUUAUUAAAUUAACCAAAUGAGUCCACAAGCAGCUUUUCGUUCUUAAAAGCUCAUUUUGACUUCUCGAAAGCCAUACCAAAUGGACCCUUAGGAUCCUAGAAGGAAGAACUUCAAAUUCCAGACACAAGGCAAGAGCUCCAGAUUCGAAUUUCAUUGCAAAAUAAAUCGAGCAGCUCUUUAGAAUAAGGAUAGAAUACAUAGAAUAGUUAAUCAUCCGGGAUAAGAAUACAAACAUAACAUAAAUCUAUGAGUAAAGCUGUUCAUUUAGUAAUAAUUUCCACUUGUUUACAAUGUUCUUAUGCAGUUUCAUUAGUGUGCAAUUAUAACUUCAAGAAACACGGAAUGCAAAGAGUAAUUACACCAUAUACACAUGGCAUUUUUAUAAACUUUCGCUAUUACAUAUUCUAAGUCCCAGUGAGGUUUAGCUAAAAUAGUUGAUAAAAUUUAAGUCAAAUCAACAAUUAUUUUUAACCACGGUUUCAUGGGACCUAUAACUUUUAUCAACUUUUCAACUACACAUUUUAUCAAUUUUUUUCAAAAUUCACUAAAAAAUCUGAUUUUUAACAAAACCAAACAGGGAUUAAGUGUCUUAAAAUUUGAAUGUGUAUACAGCAACCAGCAAAGGAAGAAAAAUGUCGAGAUGUCUACAUUCCACAAGGGUGAGAAGCAGACCAGUGUCAUAUAUGAUUAAAAUACAAAUUUCAAGAACAGAAAUAGGGAAAAUAUACAUAAUGAUGCUAUUUUAUCCUAAAAUAUUAUUCUACUCGUGCUAUAAUAGACAAAGAAAUAAAGCAUGAUGUAAAAGUCAUUAUUGUAAUAUGAUACUUCCUCAACGCUAUUUCCAUUUAAGAACUUCAACAGAAGAACAUGUUAUUGUUUAAAACUGAUUAAUUCAUUACAUUUGCUGGUAACAAGAGAAACAAAUAAAAACCUGC